rnacentral:rRNA from 1 species
CCAAGGAGUCUAACAUGUAUGCGAGUCAUUGGGAAUUGAAACCCAAAGGCAUAAUGAAAGUAAAGAAUUCGAUUGCGAAUUUGAGGAGAGAUCAAUUAUAAUUAUGCUAUUCUGUAAAGUUUAGUGUAAUUGUGUUGCGCAUCUCCUGGACGUCUAUACCUCUGAAGGUUGGGCGUACCAAGAGCAUACACGUUGGGACCCGAAAGAUGGUGAACUAUGCCUGGUCAGAACGAAGUCAGGGGAAACUCUGAUGGAGGUUCGUAGCGAUUCUGACGUGCAAAUCGAUCGUCGGAACUGGGUAUAGGGGCGAAAGACUAAUCGAACCAUCUAGUAGCUGGUUCCCUCCGAAGUUUCCCUCAGGAUAGCUGGCGCUUGAUUAAAUCAGUCUCAUCCGGUAAAGCGAAUGAUUAGAGGCCUUGGGGCCGAAACGACCUCAACCUAUUCUCAAACUUUAAAUGGGUGAGAAGUCAGGCUUGCUUAAUCGAAGCUCUGACAAUGGAUGGUGAGUGCCAAGUGGGCCACUCUUGGUAAGCAGGACUGGCGCUGUGGGAUGAACCAAACGUUGGGUUAAGGCGCCCGAAUCGACGCUCAUCAGAUCCCAUAAAAGGCGUUGGUUGCUUAAGACAGCAGGACGGUGGCCAUGGAAGUCGGAA